AUAAAUACCUGAAAUGACAACAUAAAACAUAGUAAAUAUUUGAAGAAAUACCUGAGUUAUCAAUAUCAAUAUAUAGUAAAAAUUUGAAGAAAUACCUGAGUUAUCAACAUCAAUAUAGUAACAAUUUGAAGAAAUACCUGAGUUAUCAACAUCAAUAUAGUAAAAAUUUGAAGGAAUAUCUCAUUUGUGAAGAUAGAAUAAAGUAAAAAUUCGACAAAAUAUCUGAGUAGUCAACAUAAAAUAUAGUAAAAAUAUGAAAGAAAUAUCCGAUUUGUCAACACAAGAGAAAGUAAAGAUUUAGAGAAACAUCUGAGUAGUGAACAUAGAAUGAGGUAAAAAUUUGAAGAAACAUCUGAGUAGUGAACAUAGAAUGAGGUAAAAAUUUGAAAAAACGUCUGAGUACUGAACAUAGAACGAGGUAAAAAUUUGAGGAAAUAUCUGAGUUGUGAGGGUUGAAAACAUGAAAUAAAA